ACCGUUGGGAGGGAAGCUCAGGGUGCCGAGGCGGUAGAGGUCGUUGGAAUUCAGUUCGGUCGCGAAAGCGACGGAGUGCAUUUUCUUUCGGUCUUGGUAACCGUCAGCGAGAGUUUAGCCGGUCGGUUUUCUGCGGAGAGGGAGGUGGCGGCUUUCGGGACCUUCGGGCGRCGGAAACCGUUCGUAUAGCCUCGCCGCAGGAGCGAUUUGGCGAAUCUUUGGUGCGAAUUUCGAGCGUCGUUCGCUCGACUGGUAAGGUGCGGUCCUCUCGAGAGGAGCGGGAUUCGUUCUUCGGUSGUUGCCGAGCGAAAUUUCGUGUUCAGCGUUGGAGUUCGCUUCAUCGUUGUGCAGUUUUGGAGCUUUGGCGACUUUCGACGGUUCGUUUGCCACGUUACCGCGCCCAGGUCGUUGGCGUCGAGUCGGUCCCCUGUGCCCCGUCUUGAAACACGGACCAAGGAGUGCAAGAGGCACGCGAGUCCUGCGGGUUGGUCGUUCGACUAGUUUCGAGCGCACUCGAAAACCCAGAGGUAGGCGAAGCGAGAGCAAGUUCCGGUAGCGUCCGGUGGGUGCGAGAGCUGGUUUCCCUCGGGAAGCGAGCGCAUCGCGGACCGAGCCGUUGGUCACUCCGUGGCCGGCUUCGAGUGAGAGCGCGUCUGUUGCGACCCGAAAGAUGGUGAACUAUGCCCGAGGAGGGUGAAGCCAGGGGAAACUCUGGUGGAGGCCCGCAGCGGUUCUGACGUGCAAAUCGAUCGUGGCACUUGGGUAUAGGGGCGAAAGACUAAUCGAACCGUCUAGUAGCUGGUUCCCUCCGAAGUUUCCCUCAGGAUAGCUGGAGCCAAGUUUUGUACAGUUUCGUCGGGUAAAGCGAAUGAUUAGAGGUAUCGGGGUCGAAAGGACCUCGACCUAUUCUCAAACUUUGAAUCGGCGAGGCGGUCCGUCCCUUG
rnacentral:rRNA from 1 species